rnacentral:rRNA from 1 species
CAUGGAGUUUGAUCCUGGCUCAGAUUGUACGCUGGCGGAAUGCUUUACACAUGCAAGUCGAACGGUAGAGGGGGCAACCCCUUGAGAGUGGCGAACGGGUGAGUAAUAUAUCGGAACGUGCCCAGUCGUGGGGGAUAACGUAGCGAAAGUUACGCUAAUACCGCAUACGAUCUAAGGAUGAAAGCGGGGGACUCGUAAGAGCCUCGCGCGAUUGGAGCGGCCGAUAUCAGAUUAGGUAGUUGGUGGGGUAAAGGCCCACCAAGGCGACGAUCUGUAGCUGGUCUGAGAGGACGACCAGCCACACUGGAACUGAGACACGGUCCAGACUCCUACGGGAGCAGCAGUGGGGAAUUUGGACAAUGGGCGCAAGCCUGAUCCAGCAAUGCCCGCGUGCAGGAUGAAGGCCUUCGGUUGUAAA